CUAGUACUGUUCUUGUAAUAGAUUUCUCAUGAGAUCUGGUUAUUUAAAAGUGUAUAGCACCUCCUCCCUCUCUCUUUUCCUCCUGCUCCAGACAUGAAAACGUGCUUGCUUCCCCUUCACCUUCUGCUGUGAUUUAAAUUUUCCUGAGGCCUCCCUAGAAGCUGCUACGCUUCCUGUACAGCCUGCAGAACUAGAGUGAGAUCUCAUGAGAUCUGGUGGUUUCCAAGUGUUUGGCAGUUUCCCCCGUCUCUCCUCUCUCUCUCCUGCUGCCAUAUGAAGAAGGUCCUUGCUCCCCCUUUGCAUUCUACCAUGAUUACAAGUUUUAUGAGGCCUCCCCAGGCAUGUGGA
rnacentral:lncRNA from 10 species